rnacentral:rRNA from 1 species
AAGCGGAGGAACAUGUGGUUAAUCGAUGAUACGCGAGGAACCUUACCUGGGCUUAAAUGUAGAGUGCAUUUUUAGAGAUAGAAAUUCCCUUCGGGGCUUUCUGCAAGGUGCUGCAUGGUUGUCGUCAGCUCGUGCCGUGAGGUGUCGGGUUAAGUCCCAUAACGAGCGCAACCCUUAUCGUUAGUUGCCAUCUGGUAAUGCAGGGGACUCUAGCGAAACUGCCACCGUAAGGUGAGAGGAAGGUGGGAUGGACGUCAAAUCAGCACGGCCCUUAUGUCCAGGGCUACACACGUGUUACAAUGGUCGGUACAGAGGGCAGCUACCUGGUGACAGGAUGCUAAUCUCGAAAACCGGUCUCAGUUCGGAUCGAAGUCUGCAACUCGACUUCGUGAAGCUGGAUUCGCUAGUAAUCGCGCAUCAGCUAUGGCGCGGUGAAUACGUUCCCGGGCCUU